rnacentral:rRNA from 1 species
AAGGUAGCAUAAUCAUUUGUCUUUUAAUUAGAGGCUGGAAUGAAUGAGGCGACGAAAUUUAUACUUUUAAAUUAUACAAUGAAAUUAACAUAAAGGUUAAAAGGCUUUUAUUGACCAAAGGGACGAUAAGACCCUAUAAAACUUUACUAUUAAAUAGGUUAUUUAGGUAAACUGUAAUAUAAUAGUUUAACUGGGGUGGUUUAUAUAAAAACAAUAGAAAUUUAAAUAUUUUUAAUAGGGUUAGAGAACUUUAAUAAGAAAUGAACAAGUUACUUUAGGGAUAACAGCAUAAUUUUCUCAGAGAGUCCUAAUUGGCGAGAAAGUUUAUGACCUCGAUGUUGAAUUGGGGUUUCUGGUAUAAGUAGAAAUAUAUUAAGAUAGUCUGUUCGACUAUUAAACCCCC